rnacentral:rRNA from 1 species
CGGGUUGUUGCUGGCCCCCAAACCGGGCACGUGCACGCCCUGUUUACGCAUCCACUCACACCUGUGCACCCUCUGUAGUUCUGUGGACCGGGAGACGUCGUCUUCCUUCCGUGGCUCUACGUCUUUACACACACGCCGUAGCGAAGUCUCAUGGAAUGUUUUUCGCGUUUAACGCAAUACAAUACAACUUUCAGCAACGGAUCUCUUGGCUCUCGCAUCGAUGAAGAACGCAGCGAAAUGCGAUAAGUAAUGUGAAUUGCAGAAUUCAGUGAAUCAUCGAAUCUUUGAACGCACCUUGCGCCCCUUGGUUAUUCCUCGGGGCAUGCCUGUUUGAGUAUCAUGAACACCUCAACUCUCGUGGUCUUCCAUGAUGAGCUUGGACUUUGGGGGUUUGCUGGCCCUGUGGCCGGCUCCUCUCAAACGAAUCAGCUUGCCAGUGUUUGGCGGCGUCACGGGUGUGAUAACCAUCUACGCUUGCGAUCGCCUGCCAGAUAACCCUCAGCGAUGAAGGUUCAUUGGGGCUCACAAAAGUCUCUCCACGGCGAGGACAAAUUUUGAAUGUUCGAUCUCAAAUCAGGUAGGACUACCCGCUGAACUUAAGCAUAUCAAUAAGCGGAGGAAAAGAAACUAACAAGGAUUCCCCUAGUAACUGCGAGUGAAGCGGGAAGAGCUCAAAUUUAAAAUCUGGCGUGCCUCCGGUCGUCCGAAUUGUAGUCUGGAGAAGCGUUUUCUGUGCUGGACCGUGUAC